GAUGAACGCUGGCGGCGUGCCUAAUACAUGCAAGUCGAGCGAACAGAUGAGGAGCUUGCUCCUCUGACGUUAGCGGCGGACGGGUGAGUAACACGUGGAUAACCUACCUAUAAGACUGGGAUAACUUCGGGAAACCGGAGCUAAUACCGGAUAAUAUAUUGAACCGCAUGGUUCAAUAGUGAAAGACGGUUUUGCUGUCACUUAUAGAUGAAUCCGCGCCGCAUUAGCUAGUUGGUAAGGUAACGGCUUACCAAGGCAACGAUGCGUAGCCGACUUGAGAGGGUGAUCGGCCACACUGGAACUGAGACACGGUCCAGACUCCUACGGGAGGCAGCAGUAGGGAAUCUUCCGCAAUGGGCGAAAGCCUGACGGAGCAACGCCGCGUGAGUGAUGAAGGUCUUCGGAUCGUAAAACUCUGUUAUUAGGGAAGAACAAAUGUGUAAGUAACUAUGCACGUCUUGACGGUACCUAAUCAGAAAGCCACGGCUAACUACGUG
rnacentral:rRNA from 1 species